rnacentral:pre_miRNA from 12 species
GGACGUGGUGGCCCGCACUCAGCCGUGCCCUAGCAGCGGGAACAGUACUGCAGUGGGCAAUCGGUGUUCUGGAGUAUUGUUUCUGCUGCCCGGGCAAGGCUGGGACUCCCGCACGGGCCCACC